UACAGAGGGGGCAAGCGUUAUUCGGAAUUAUUGGGCGUAAAGGGCGCGUAGGCGGCUUUGCAAGUGGCGGGUGAAAUCCCUCGGCUUAACCGAGGAACUGCCUGUCAAACUGCAUGGCUUGAGACCAGGAGAGGUGAGUGGAAUUCCCAGUGUAGCGGUGAAAUGCGUAGAUAUCUGGAGGAACACCGGUGGCGAAGGCGGCAUCCUGGACCGACACUGACGCUGAGGAGCGAAAGCCAGGGGAGCAAACGGG
rnacentral:rRNA from 1 species